rnacentral:rRNA from 1 species
UACUGGGCGUAAAGCGAGCGUAGGUGGCUUGAUAAGUCAGAUGUGAAAUCCCCCGGGCUUAACCUGGGAACUGCAUCUGAUACUGUUAGGCUAGAAUAGGUGAGAGGGAAAGUAGAAUUUCAGGUGUAGCGGUGAAAUGCGUAGAGAUCUGAAGGAAUACCGAUGGCGAAGGCAGCUUUCUGGCAUCAUAUUGACACUGAGGUUCGAAAGCGUGGGUAGCAAACAGGAUUAGAUACCCUGGUAGUCCACGCCGUAAACGAUGUCUACUAGUCGUUGGGUCCCUUGAGGACUUAGUGACGCAGCUAACGCAAUAAGUAGACCGCCUGGGGAGUACGGCCGCAAGGUUAAAACUCAAAUGAAUUGACGGGGGCCCGCACAAGCGGUGGAGCAUGUGGUUUAAUUCGAUGCAACGCGAAGAACCUUACCUGGUCUUGACAUAUAUAGAAUCUUGUAGAGAUACGAGAGUGCCUUCGGGAAUUAGAAUACAGGUGCUGCAUGGCUGUCGUCAGCUCGUGUCGUGAGAUGUUGGGUUAAGUCCCGCAACGAGCGCAACCCUUGUCCUUAGUUACCAGCGGGUUAAGCCGGGAACUCUAAGGAUACUGCCAGUGACAAACUGGAGGAAGGCGGGGACGACGUCAAGUCAUCAUGGCCCUUACGACCAGGGCUACACACGUGCUACAAUGGUAGGUACAGAGGGCAGCUACACAGCGAUGUGAUGCGAAUCUUUCAAAGCCUAUCGUAGUCCAGAUUGGAGUCUGCAACUCGACUCCAUGAAGUAGGAAUCGCUAGUAAUCGCGGAUCAGAAUGCCGCGGUGAAUACGUUCCCGGGCCUUGUACACACCGCCCGUCACACCAUGGGAGUUGAUUGCACCAGAAGUGGUUAGCCUAACGUAAGAGGGCG